rnacentral:rRNA from 1 species
AUUGAACGCUGGCGGCGUGCCUAACACAUGCAAGUCGAGCGGUAACAGGUGUAGCAAUACAUGCUGACGAGCGGCGAACGGGUGAGUAAUGCUUUGGAAUCUUCCCAGUAGUGGGGAAUAACCAGUCGAAAGAUUGGCUAAUACCGCAUACGUCUGUAAAGGGAAGCGGGGGCUCGUAAGACCUCGCGCUAUCGGAUGAGCCAAAGUCGGAUUAGCUAGNGGUGGGGUAAUGGCCUACCAAGGCGACAAUCCGUAGCUGGUCUGAGAGGACGACCAGCCACACCGGAACUGAGACACGGUUCCGGACUCCUACGGGAGGCAGCAGUGGGGAAUAUUGGACAAUGGGGGAAACCCUGAUCCAGCGACGCCGCGUGU